GACAGCGGAGGGAUCAUUACCGAGUUUACAACUCCCAAACCCAAUGUGAACGUUACCAAACUGUUGCCUCGGCGGGAUCUCUGCCCCGGGUGCGUCGCAGCCCCGGACCAAGGCGCCCGCCGGAGGACCAACCAAAACUCUUUUUGUAUACCCCCUCGCGGGUUUUUUAUAAUCUGAGCCUUCUCGGCGCCUCUCGUAGGCGUUUCGAAAAUGAAUCAAAACUUUCAACAACGGAUCUCUUGGUUCUGGCAUCGAUGAAGAACGCAGCGAAAUGCGAUAAGUAAUGUGAAUUGCAGAAUUCAGUGAAUCAUCGAAUCUUUGAACGCACAUUGCGCCCGCCAGUAUUCUGGCGGGCAUGCCUGUCCGAGCGUCAUUUCAACCCUCGAACCCCUCCGGGGGGUCGGCGUUGGGGAUCGGCCCUCCCUUAGCGGGUGGCCGUCUCCGAAAUACAGUGGCGGUCUCGCCGCAGCCUCUCCUGCGCAGUAGUUUGCACACUCGCAUCGGGAGCGCGGCGCGUCCACAGCCGUUAAACACCCAACUUCUGAAAUGUUGACCUCGGAUCAGGUAGGAAUACCCGCUGAACUUAAGCAUAUCAAUA
rnacentral:rRNA from 1 species